rnacentral:tRNA from 1 species
AGCAGCGUGGCUCAGUGGAAAGAGCACAGGCUUUGGAAUCAGAGGUCAUGGGUUCGAAUCCCAGCUCUGCCA